AGAGUUUGAUCCUGGCUCAGGAUGAACGCUGGCGGCGUGCCUAAUACAUGCAAGUCGAGCGAACGGACGAGAAGCUUGCUUCUCUGAUGUUAGCGGCGGACGGGUGAGUAACACGUGGAUAACCUACCUAUAAGACUGGGAUAACUUCGGGAAACCGGAGCUAAUACCGGAUAAUAUUUUGAACCGCAUGGUUCAAAAGUGAAAGACGGUCUUGCUGUCACUUAUAGAUGGAUCCACGCUGCAUUAGCUAGUUGGUAAGGUAACGGCUUACCAAGGCAACGAUGCAUAGCCGACCUGAGAGGGUGAUCGGCCACACUGGAACUGAGACACGGUCCAGACUCCUACGGGAGGCAGCAAUAGGGAAUCUUCCGCAAUGGGCGAAAGCCUGACGGAGCAACGCCGCGUGAGUGAUGAAGGUCUUCGGAUCGUAAAACUCUGUUAUUAGGGAAGAACAUAUGUGUAAGUAACUGUGCACAUCUUGACGGUACCUAAUCAGAAAGCCACGGCUAACUACGUGCCAGCAGCCGCGGUAAUACGUAGGUGGCAAGCGUUAUCCGGAAUUAUUGGGCGUAA
rnacentral:rRNA from 1 species